GACGGGGUUACCUCUUUUUCCCUUAUUAGGGAGAGAGAGUCUGUGUGAUACGUCGAAUUAUUGGGUGAACAAGUAGUCUCUGGGGUACUGCAGGUUUAUGUCUUUAUUGAUGCUUUACUGCACACUUGAGUGUUCAGAGAUCUCUCCGGUGACUUCAUUCACCCAAGGACAUUUGGUGUCAGAAGUGGGAUACCUUCUUGCAACCCAUCAUGUGGACAGCGAUGUCAGCAGUCUAAGUGGGUGCACACAGCUCCAGGAUGCCAACACAUAGCAGAUCUACCUCUGGACAGGGUUCCUCCAUAUGAAUGCAAACAACAGGAAUUCUGCAGAUGCUGGAAAUUCAAGCAACAUACAUCAAAGUUGCUGGUGAACGCAGC